rnacentral:rRNA from 1 species
UGCGUAGGCGGCAUUAUAAGUCAGAGGUGAAAGCCCGGCGCUCAACGUCGGAACUGCCUUUGAUACUGUGAUGCUUGAAUCAGGUUGAGGUUAGCGGAAUGUGACAUGUAGCGGUGAAAUGCAUAGAUAUGUCAUAGAACACCAAUUGCGAAGGCAGCUAACUGGAUCUGUAUUGACGCUGAGGCACGAAAGCGUGGGGAGCGAACAGGAUUAGAUACCCUGGUAGUCC